AACAAUAUUCUUUGAAUCAACCCGUAGUUUCCCUUGUUUCGAAAAUUUCAGACUUGCAGGGAAGUGUUGCUUAGCAGGAUAAGAAUUUAUCUCAACAAUGGUUUAAUUCCUUCCCACUUAAACUAUAUAGCGAGAAACGAUGGUCUUCUCUGUGACAUUAAGAAGAAAUAAGAGGCCUGAACAACUUAUUAUUUUCCUAUAAUAUUUUCGAAGCAUUGAAAAAACGUUGACUCCUGAAACGUGUCAAACAGUAGGUGCCCCCAUAUAUAAAUGGGCCGAUUGUACUGCUUCAUAAAGACAUCCAAAUAUAUAAAGCCCCUUUUGAUCUUACGUGAGACAGUAACGUGUACGUAUAAAAUUUAAUUUAUUACCAGAGUUUACCUUAACGCUUUACUCGCCUGAACAGCUAUUGAUGGUGCAAUAGUAAAAAAAAAAAUUGCUGUAGCUUUAUUUGUCCAUAGGGAUGAGCUAAAGUGAGCCUAAAUGAAUGCGCAAAUUUCUUCUCUAGCGAUAUUUCAGUGUGUAUGUUUUUAAGCCAUUUUAAUAAAAAAUGUAUAUUAAGAUCUCUGAUUGACUAGACAAACAAAACAGCGAUACGUAAUAUACCGCAGAAUUUAAAAUCGGUUGAGAACAUAAUUGUAAAAUGAAAGGUAAAGAUUAUUCAUAUUGUAACUUAUUGUGCCCAUUGAUGAAAGUUACCAUAAUAGAUUCAUAGCAAGAACAUUUGAAAUAAUUUACGUGGUAAGUAGUCGUCCCAACGUUUGGAUAGUGAACUGACAAAUACCGGUACCAACUCUUAAGAAUCGUAGGAUGAAAUUCCCGGUCGCAUUUCAGUUCAUUAAAAUGUUUAUUGAAAUUUGCCCCUUGUUCCAGAUGAAGUUCUUUCCGCAACUGUAGCGGGCACCUACAGAUUCCAUUACGUUUCUUUCCCUUAUACUCGUAUUUAGAUUUUUCUGGCUGUUCCGACAGCAUUAGAUGCCUUUGUUUUCUCUGCGAAAAGCUGUUUCAGGAAUUCAUCUUUUUCCGCAGACUGUGCCGCAUGUAAACGUAGUGUAUGCCUGGUAAUAUGUCUUUGAUUAGUUAAAUAGCCAACACAUUCCUCAAAUGUUGCGAAAUUGGAGCCUGAGAUUGCUGCUUCGUCGGUAUCCUUACUUUGCUUCAAAACAUGGAAUUGUGCUGUACUUUAUUAUAUUUUAUUACGCACUCCAAUAAAUCCUUUCUCAUUAAAUUCCUUAAGAUGUUUUGUAUCUAUAGUCAGUUCUCUAAAUUGUAUAUUUACUUCAUUCCAAACUAUGUCACACUCCUAGGUUAUUUCGGAAAGCAAUUCCCAUUUAAAUUAAAUAUGGGGACAUUACACGUCAAGUGUAUAAGGCGCAACAGUAUGACGUAUUUAGGAAAGAUUCCACAAUGUCUUGGAUGGAUAUGAACUAAGUUUCAGCAUGUUGUCUUCUUUGGUUCCAUUUCUAUAGCCACUAAUAAAUAUGGGGUCCAAAUUUAGUACAAACUAUAAGCAUUCUGAAGUGUCAACUUUGUGUAAUUUUUAUGAAAGCUAUGCUUAUAACUUACAAGCCCCUGCAUUUGUGUAUUUAAACAACUUUUUGUGCAGAAUAAGAAUAUACUACUGAUUAGAUGUGUACUUCUAAAAUGUCAGAAAAUCCAUGUUUACGUAUGGAUGACUCCUCCCAAAGUUUUUUGCAAUUGAUCCCUGAAGAAAUUAUAUGCAACAUUAUGUAAGACAUUACUGCAAAUUUUGUUACAUUUCCAAAACAGUUUUACUCUAUUGUUGAAGGAAUGUAGAUUUUAUUUGAAUUUUCAAUUCAUCUCUAUGAUUGAUCUUGUCACUAGCUUGCUUGCAGAAUGCUGUUGGUUGACAUGUGCUAAUUCAGCUGCAGUUUGUGAACACAUCAACAUUGUAAAAUCAGUCUGACAUUACAUGUUACUACCAGUAUCUAUUAUGUGUAUGUUGCCUAUGUGUAAAUUGACUGUUGCCUAACCAAGCACAGUUAAUACAUGUAUGUCAUAAAUCAUUGCCCACAACUAAUGAAAUUUUAAGAACUUUAUUUUAAUGUUUUCUGAUUUUUAUGUUUUCAUAUAAUUUAUUGUAUUGUAACUUUAACAGGCCUGGCAUGAAAAUGAACUUUGUAGUUUGAAUCUAGCCACCAGCAAAAUUAAACACAACUGUGAUUAAAUUACAAUAAAGAAUUUGUGUUGUUCAAGUUGCAGUCCUGUCCAGACCUCAUGUUGGCAAAACAUGAGCUAAUUUGUAUUUUGCUAACCAAGAAGUGGCUAAGAUUUGAUUUUUUUUAACAAACAUAAAGUUAAGAAGGGUAUGCAGCCUACUGAAUUUGUCAUGUUGACAAGUUGAAACUGUUGACUGUUAUAGUUUUUAAGCCUCACCAGAAGCUUUGUUCCACAUGUAAAGAAUUAUCUGUUACAACUACAGUCUCUGGGUGAGCAGGAACCAAUGUCUACUGAUUAUAUGGCUGCAGUUGACAUGUCCUACACAUUGAAUACCUCAUUGGCACUGCAAAUGUUUGCUGUGUCUGCUGGUGAACUUACAGCUGUGAAUGUGUUAAUCUACAAUGAACUGGCAAUAGGGAUUCAAUGAGUUAUCUAAGACGGCAGAAAGUUAAGAAAGCAUGAGGUUCCAUCACUGAGGCUAUAGAAGCAGCAGCAGCUGAUGAUGUAAGCUCCACUGAUGUUGUGGAAACAGAAAUGGUGAUGCAAUAUGAGAAAUAUAAGGAUAUAGGCAUUUCAAUUAAUUAACUACAAAUUAAAGUACAUUAUGCAAAUGAACCCAAAAAAGUUUAACUAUUUAUCCUUCUUAGUAUCAUCUGUAGCACACAACAGCAAAAUAAUUGGUAAAAGUGCUUUUAUGGUGUCAGAGACUAUGCAUUUCAUUCUCUAAUGGGUAUAUAUUUCCUCAGUGAAUGAACAUGACGAACAGUGAUUCACAUGAUUACACAAGAUGGUGAAACCAAUGAUAAAACGGAGCUCGAUGAAUAUUGUCAUGAUGGCCAGUGUAUGAAAUUGUGUGGUAGCCUAGUGGAAUAUAUUGUGCAGGAUGUCAUAUAAAGCAGAAUAUUCUGUAAAACUGAAAUUGUACUCUAAGGAUCCUGUUUAAACACUACUAAAUAAAUCAUGAAGUUUCGAAAAUA